rnacentral:rRNA from 1 species
UACGUAGGGUGCAAGCGUUAAUCGGAAUUACUGGGCGUAAAGCGUGCGCAGGCGGUUUUGUAAGUCUGUCGUGAAAUCCCCGGGCUCAACCCUGGGAAUUGCGAUGGAGACUGCAAGGCUAGAAUCUGGCAGAGGGGGGUAGAAUUCCACGUGUAGCAGUGAAAUGCGUAGAGAUGUGGAGGAACACCGAUGGCGAAGGCAGCCCCUGGGUCAAGAUUGACGCUCAUGCACGAAAGGCGUGGGGAGCAAACAAGGAUUAGAGUACCCUAUGAGUACCAG